GAUGAACGCUGGCGGCGUGCCUAAUACAUGCCAGUCGAGCGAACAGACGAGGAGCUUGCUCCUCUGACGUUAGCGGCGGACGGGUGAGUAACACGUGGAUAACCUACCUAUAAGACUGGGAUAACUUCGGGAAACCGGAGCUAAUACCGGAUAAUAUAUUGAACCGCAUGGUUCAAUAGUGAAAGACGGUUUUGCUGUCACUUAUAGAUGGAUCCGCGCCGCAUUAGCUAGUUGGUAAGGUAACGGCUUACCAAGGCAACGAUGCGUAGCCGACCUGAGAGGGUGAUCGGCCACACUGGAACUGAGACACGGUCCAGACUCCUACGGGAGGCAGCAGUAGGGAAUCUUCCGCAAUGGGCGAAACCCUGACGGAGCAACGCCGGGGGAGUGAUGAAGGUCUUCGGAUCGUAAAACUCUGUUAUUAGGGAAGAAAAAAUGUGUAAGUAACUAUGCACGUUUUGACGGUACCUAACCAGAAAGCCACGGCUAACUACGU
rnacentral:rRNA from 1 species